rnacentral:rRNA from 1 species
GGUUAACCGAAUAGGGGAGCCGAAGGGAAACCGAGUCUUAACUGGGCGUUAAGUUGCAGGGUAUAGACCCGAAACCCGGUGAUCUAGCCAUGGGCAGGUUGAAGGUUGGGUAACACUAACUGGAGGACCGAACCGACUAAUGUUGAAAAAUUAGCGGAUGACUUGUGGCUGGGGGUGAAAGGCCAAUCAAACCGGGAGAUAGCUGGUUCUCCCCGAAAGCUAUUUAGGUAGCGCCUCGUGAAUUCAUCUCCGGGGGUAGAGCACUGUUUCGGCAAGGGGGUCAUCCCGACUUACCAACCCGAUGCAAACUGCGAAUACCGGAGAAUGUUAUCACGGGAGACACACGGCGGGUGCUAACGUCCGUCGUGAAGAGGGAAACAACCCAGACCGCCAGCUAAGGUCCCAAAGUCAUGGUUAAGUGGGAAACGAUGUGGGAAGGCCCAGACAGCCAGGAUGUUGGCUUAGAAGCAGCCAUCAUUUAAAGAAAGCGUAAUAGCUCACUGGUCGAGUCGGCCUGCGCGGAAGAUGUAACGGGGCUAAACCAUGCACCGAAGCUGCGGCAGCGACACUGUGUGUUGUUGGGUAGGGGAGCGUUCUGUAAGCCUGUGAAGGUGUGCUGUGAGGCAUGCUGGAGGUAUCAGAAGUGCGAAUGCUGACAUAAGUAACGAUAAAGCGGGUGAAAAGCCCGCUCGCCGGAAGACCAAGGGUUCCUGUCCAACGUUAAUCGGGGCAGGGUGAGUCGACCCCUAAGGCGAGGCCGAAAGGCGUAGUCGAUGGGAAACAGGUUAAUAUUCCUGUACUUGGUGUUACUGCGAAGGGGGGACGGAGAAGGCUAUGUUGGCCGGGCGACGGUUGUCCCGGUUUAAGCGUGUAGGCUGGUUUUCCAGGCAAAUCCGGAAAAUCAAGGCUGAGGCGUGAUGACGAGGCACUACGGUGCUGAAGCAACAAAUGCCCUGCUUCCAGGAAAAGCCUCUAAGCAUCAGGUAACAUCAAAUCGUACCCCAAACCGACACAGGUGGUCAGGUAGAGAAUACCAAGGCGCUUGAGAGAACUCGGGUGAAGGAACUAGGCAAAAUGGUGCCGUAACUUCGGGAGAAGGCACGCUGAUAUGUAGGUGAAGUCCCUCGCGGAUGGAGCUGAAAUCAGUCGAAGAUACCAGCUGGCUGCAACUGUUUAUUAAAAACACAGCACUGUGCAAACACGAAAGUGGACGUAUACGGUGUGACGCCUGCCCGGUGCCGGAAGGUUAAUUGAUGGGGUCAGCGCAAGCGAAGCUCUUGAUCGAAGCCCCGGUAAACGGCGGCCGUAACUAUAACGGUCCUAAGGUAGCGAAAUUCCUUGUCGGGUAAGUUCCGACCUGCACGAAUGGCGUAAUGAUGGCCAGGCUGUCUCCACCCGAGACUCAGUGAAAUUGAACUCGCUGUGAAGAUGCAGUGUACCCGCGGCAAGACGGAAAGACCCCGUGAACCUUUACUAUAGCUUGACACUGAACAUUGAGCCUUGAUGUGUAGGAUAGGUGGGAGGCUUUGAAGUGUGGACGCCAGUCUGCAUGGAGCCGACCUUGAAAUACCACCCUUUAAUGUUUGAUGUUCUAACGUGGACCCGUGAUCCGGGUUGCGGACAGUGUCUGGUGGGUAGUUUGACUGGGGCGGUCUCCUCCUAAAGAGUAACGGAGGAGCACGAAGGUUGGCUAAUCCUGGUCGGACAUCAGGAGGUUAGUGCAAUGGCAUAAGCCAGCUUGACUGCGAGCGUGACGGCGCGAGCAGGUGCGAAAGCAGGUCAUAGUGAUCCGGUGGUUCUGAAUGGAAGGGCCAUCGCUCAACGGAUAAAAGGUACUCCGGGGAUAACAGGCUGAUACCGCCCAAGAGUUCAUAUCGACGGCGGUGUUUGGCACCUCGAUGUCGGCUCAUCACAUCCUGGGGCUGAAGUAGGUCCCAAGGGUAUGGCUGUUCGCCAUUUAAAGUGGUACGCGAGCUGGGUUUAGAACGUCGUGAGACAGUUCGGUCCCUAUCUGCCGUGGGCGCUGGAGAACUGAGGGGGGCUGCUCCUAGUACGAGAGGACCGGAGUGGACGCAUCACUGGUGUUCGGGUUGUCAUGCCAAUGGCACUGCCCGGUAGCUAAAUGCGGAAGAGAUAAGUGCUGAAAGCAUCUAAGCACGAAACUUGCCCCGAGAUGAGUUCUCCCUGACCCUUUAAGGGUCCUGAAGGAACGUUGAAGACGACGACGUUGAUAGGCCGGGUGUGUAAGCGCAGCGAUGCGUUGAGCUAACCGGUACUAAUGAACCGUGAGGCUUAACCUU